GCUGAUGUAGCUCAGCUGGUUAGAGCGCGAAACUCAUAAUUUCGAGGUCGGUGGUUCAAGUCCACCCAUCAGCA
rnacentral:tRNA from 2 species